UACAGAGGGGGCAAGCGUUGUUCGGAAUUACUGGGUGUAAAGGGCGCGUAGGCGGCCUGUUAAGUCGAACGUGAAAUCCCUGGGCUCAACCCAGGAACUGCGUCCGAUACUGGCAGGCUUGAAUCCGGGAGAGGGAUGUGGAAUUCCAGGUGUAGCGGUGAAAUGCGUAGAUAUCUGGAGGAACACCGGUGGCGAAGGCGGCAUCCUGGACCGGUAUUGACGCUGAGGCGCGAAAGCCAGGGGAGCAAACGGG
rnacentral:rRNA from 1 species